UGCGAACGCUGGCGGCAGGCUUAACACAUGCAAGUCGAACGGGCAUAGCAAUAUGUCAGUGGCAGACGGGUGAGUAACGCGUGGGAACGUACCUUUUGGUUCGGAACAACACAGGGAAACUUGUGCUAAUACCGGAUAAGCCCUUACGGGGAAAGAUUUAUCGCCGAAAGAUCGGCCCGCGUCUGAUUAGCUAGUUGGUAGGGUAAUGGCCUACCAAGGCGACGAUCAGUAGCUGGUCUGAGAGGAUGAUCAGCCACAUUGGGACUGAGACACGGCCCAAACUCCUACGGGAGGCAGCAGUGGGGAAUAUUGGACAAUGGGCGAAAGCCUGAUCCAGCCAUGCCGCGUGAGUGAUGAAGGCCCUAGGGUUGUAAAGCUCUUUUGUGCGGGAAGAUAAUGACGGUACCGCAAGAAUAAGCCCCGGCUAACUUCGUG
rnacentral:rRNA from 1 species